rnacentral:rRNA from 1 species
GAACGAAGGCUUCGGCCUUAGUGGCGCACGGGUGCGUAACGCGUGGGAAUCUGCCCUUUGGUUCGGAAUAACAGCUGGAAACGGCUGCUAAUACCGGAUGAUGACGAGAGUCCAAAGAUUUAUCGCCAGAGGAUGAGCCCGCGUUGGAUUAGGUAGUUGGUGGGGUAAAGGCCUACCAAGCCGACGAUCCAUAGCUGGUCUGAGAGGAUGAUCAGCCACACUGGGACUGAGACACGGCCCAGACUCCUACGGGAGGCAGCAGUGGGGAAUAUUGGACAAUGGGCGAAAGCCUGAUCCAGCAAUGCCGCGUGAGUGAUGAAGGCCCUAGGGUUGUAAAGCUCUUUUACCCGGGAAGAUAAUGACUGUACCGGGAGAAUAAGCCCCGGCUAACUCCGUGCCAGCAGCCGCGGUAAUACGGAGGGGGCUAGCGUUGUUCGGAAUUACUGGGCGUAAAGCGCACGUAGGCGGCUUUGUAAGUCAGAGGUGAAAGCCUGGAGCUCAACUCCAGAACUGCCUUUGAGACUGCAUCGCUUGAAUCCAGGAGAGGUCAGUGGAAUUCCGAGUGUAGAGGUGAAAUUCGUA